UCACACCCUUUCUUGUUUUUGCUUUUAACUCAUUUAAAGAGCAACAAGUCACACCAGAGAAUUAUGAUGAUGUAAUCACUGUCGGACUGACACAUCAUACUAGAGGUGACAUAUCAGAAAGCUAUGAUGUUGUCAUCAUAAGACAGCUCUCCAAUAAUAAAGCAGAGGAAGAUCUGGAGGAGUAUGAUAAUGUAAAGAAUGUCAGUGAAGAUGUGCGAGACCUGUCUGACUAUGAUUAUUUGAGGGAAGAGCCAGGAAAACAGGGAGGGACUGUUUAAGUCAGUGACUACACCCACUGCCUCACAUCUUAUUACAGCUUUUAGUUGCUCUGCACUUAAAAGUGUUGAAUGUACCAACACAAUUGCAUUUAGCCAAAGCUUGCUGUUGUUACAAUUACUAGACAUUAAUAGAAAACAUGGACAUCAAUUCAAUACAAAUAUAGAACAAAUUCAUAAAAAAAGACACCUGCUUUUAAAAAGCUGAAGGUGUCCAGGUCAAAAGCACCUGCAGAACUAAAUGACAAACAUGCUUUUUACUCUUUUGCUCUUCAGCUAUAUUCUUUUUGCAAGAAAAGAUUGUUGCACACUGCUAUGUAUUGUAAAUGUAUUUAUCUUAUGAGUGCAUUUAGCAAAAAAUAAAAAUUCUCUCUUUUCUGAUGUUUAGAGUUUCUUCAAAUAUUUACAAUUUUAUUUAGACAACAAUAAUGAC
rnacentral:lncRNA from 1 species